GACGAACGCUGGCGGCGUGCUUAACACAUGCAAGUCGAACGGAAAGGCCCUGCUUUUGUGGGGUGCUCGAGUGGCGAACGGGUGAGUAACACGUGAGUAACCUGCCCUUGACUUUGGGAUAACUUAAGAAACCGGGGCUAAUACCGGAAAGGGGCCCCCGCUGCCAGGGGGGGGUUGGGAAGUUUCGGCGGUUAGGGAUGGACUCGCGGCUUAUCAGCUUGUUGGUGGGGUAGUGGCUUACCAAGGCUUUGACGGGUAGCCGGCCUGAGAGGGUGACCGGCCACAUUGGGACUGAGAUACGGCCCAGACUCCUACGGGAGGCAGCAGUGGGGAAUAUUGCACAAUGGGCGGAAGCCUGAUUCAGCAACGCCGCGUGCGGGAUGACGGCCUUCGGGUUGUAAACCGCUUUCGCCUGUGACGAAGCGUGAGUGACGGUAAUGGGUAAAGAAGCACCGGCUAACUACGUG
rnacentral:rRNA from 1 species